rnacentral:rRNA from 1 species
UGGGGGAUAUUGCACAAUGGGCGAAAGCCUGAUGCAGCGACGCCGCGUGGGGGAUGAAGGCUUUCGGGUUGUAAACCUCUUUCGCUAUCGAACAAGGCCCGCUUAGGGUGGGUUGAGGGUAGGUGGAGAAGAAGCGCCGGCUAACUACGUGCCAGCAGCCGCGGUAAUACGUAGGGCGCGAGCGUUGUCCGGAAUUAUUGGGCGUAAAGGGUUUGUAGGCGGCUUGUUGCGCCUGCUGUGAAAACGCGGGGCUUAACUUCGCGCGUGCAGUGGGUACGGGCAGGCUUGAGUGUGGUAGGGGUGACUGGAAUUCCAGGUGUAGCGGUGGAAUGCGCAGAUAUCUGGAGGAACACCGAUGGCGAAGGCAGGUCACUGGGCCAUUACUGACGCUGAGGAGCGAAAGCAUGGGUAGCGAACAGG